UCUCUAUGCGGUGUCAGCCGCCGCGGUAAUACGAAGGGUGCAAGCGUUACUCGGAAUUACUGGGCGUAAAGCGUGCGUAGGUGGUUUGUUAAGUCUGAUGUGAAAGCCCUGGGCUCAACCUGGGAACUGCAUUGGAAACUGGCUUACUAGAGUGCGGUAGAGGGUAGUGGAACUUCCGGUGUAGCAGUAGAAAUGACGUAGA
rnacentral:rRNA from 1 species